UCCCUGGAGGCUUAAUGGUAAAGAAUCUGCCUGCAAUGCAGGAGAUGUGGCAGAAGCCCUAGGUUCCAUUCCUGGGUUGGGAA
rnacentral:tRNA from 1 species